UACGUAGGGGGCAAGCGUUGUCCGGAAUUAUUGGGCGUAAAGAGCGUGUAGGCGGUCCGGUAAGUCCGCUGUGAAAGUCCAGGGCUCAACCCUGGAAUGCCGGUGGAUACUGCCGGGCUAGGGUCCGGAAGAGGCGAGUGGAAUUCCUGGUGUAGCGGUGAAAUGCGCAGAUAUCAGGAGGAACACCGAUGGCGAAGGCAGCUCGCUGGGACGGUACUGACGCUGAGACGCGAAAGCGUGGGGAGCAAACAGG
rnacentral:rRNA from 1 species